rnacentral:rRNA from 1 species
GAUGAACGCUAGCGGGAGGCCUAACACAUGCAAGCCGAGCGGUAUUGUUUCUUCGGAAAUGAGAGAGCGGCGUACGGGUGCGUAACACGUGUGCAACCUGCCUUUAUCUGGGGGAUAGCCUUUCGAAAGGAAGAUUAAUACUCCAUAAUAUAUUGAACGGCAUCGUUUAAUAUUGAAAGCUCCGGCGGAUAGAGAUGGGCACGCGCAAGAUUAGCUAGUUGGUGAGGUAACGGCUCACCAAGGCGAUGAUCUUUAGGGGGCCUGAGAGGGUGAUCCCCCACACUGGUACUGAGACACGGACCAGACUCCUACGGGAGGCAGCAGUGAGGAAUAUUGGUCAAUGGGUGCAAGCCUGAACCUGCCAUCCCGCGUGAAGGACGACUGCCCUAUGGGUUGUAAACUUCUUUUGUAUAGGGAUAAACCUACCCUCGAGAGGGUAGCUGGAGGAACUAUACGAAUAAGCACCGGCUAACUCCGUG